rnacentral:rRNA from 1 species
GACAGAGGGUGGCAAGCGUUAUCCGGAUUUACUGGGUUUAAAGGGUGCGUAGGCGGGCUAUUAAGUCAGUGGUGAAAUCCCGGGGCUCAACCUCGGAACUGCCAUUGAUACUAUUAGCCUUGAAUUAUGUUGAGGUUGGCGGAAUAUAACAUGUAGCGGUGAAAUGCUUAGAUAUGUUAUGGAACACCGAUUGCGAAGGCAGCUGGCUAAACAUAUAUUGACGCUGAUGCACGAAAGUGUGGGUAGCAAACAGG